AUUGAACGCUGGCGGCAGGCCUAACACAUGCAAGUCGAGCGAGCGGCGGAAGGGUGAGUAAUGUAUGGGGACUGCCCGAUAGAGGGGGCUAACUACUGGAAACGGUGGCUAAUACCGCAUACUAUCGGAUAACCCAUAUGGGAUUGGCUAGUAGGUGGGGUAAAGGCUCACCUAGGCGACGCUCUCUAGCUGGUCUGAGAGGAUGAUCGGCCAGACGGGGACUGAGACACGGCCCAGACUCCUACGGAGGAAGCAGUGGGGAAUAUUGCACAAGGGGCGCAAGCGUGAUGCAGCCAUGCCGCGUGUAUGAAGAAGGCCUUAGGGUUGUAAAGUACUUUCAGCGGGGAGGCGUUACCCGAAGAAGAAGCACCGGCUAACUCCGUGCCAGCAGCCGCGGUAAUUC
rnacentral:rRNA from 1 species